ensembl:lncRNA
CUGCCAUCUGAUCUAACUGAACCCUACCUCCUCCUCUCCCGAUGCUGUAGGGCCUGGAUGUGUAGGUGAGCCCCAAGAGUCAGAUGCACUUGUACCCCAUUCUCUACUCCCCACUUACCAAGAGCAGGAAGUGACUAACAUUGUUCCCCCCCCCCCACAACCCCCUACGCAACAGAAGACAGAAGGAGGCAGUUAAGAGAAGUUGUGAAUACUCACUCCGCAAUGCCGUGGAAUAGAAGCCCCCUGAGCUCAUCCUACAUGACUCUCCUCCUCAGCCUGCUACUGUCUUCCCUCCAUGCCUUCCAGGCUACUCCUAUACCUUCCUUGUUCCAGCCCCAACCCUCAGUGGACAACAGACAGGGAAACCCACAGAUCCUCUGCCAGGUGCUGGGGAGCCCUGCGAGUGCCCACGUCCUAUCCUGGUACCAGCAACUCCCUGGGAAAGGCCCGACCUUUCUGCUGAGUCAAAGGGAAGGAGCUGCCCCAACCUACGGUCCUGGUGUGACCCCGCGCUUCCUGGCUGAGCUAGACCUUGAAAAGAACAGAGUCUGCCUCACUGUGGGCAAUGCCGGCCCUGAAGAUGUGGGCAUUUACUAUUGUGCUCUGUGGUAUGCCAGCCAGUACAUCUUUGGAGAAGGCACUUGGUUCCUCCAUCAGGCUGAGAGGUCAUCUCUGGUUCCUCAUCCUCCUCAGCUGACCCUGCUAACUUCAGGCCCUGCAUCUCUCAUACUGUGUGUGGCCCUGGGGCACCAGCCUGCCCCACUGAGGCUUUCCUGGGCCCUGGAGAGCCAGCUCCAGAAUGGGGGAGUGGAGGAGAGCCUGAUGGAGGACAUGGGUGACACUGUGGUCAGCACACUGCAUCUGUCCAACAGGACCCUAGCAGGCACUGUCAUCUGCAAGCCCGACCACGAGAGCGGGACCUCAGUGGCCACACUGAGGCUGCCUCCUUCCAAGAAGCAGGCUAAGUGUUUCUGGGACGCAGGUAUUGUACUCCCUGGUCACUGGCUCAUCCUUCCUCUCACCAAACUCACAGGGAAACCCGCAGAUUCUGUGCCAGCUGCUGGGGAGCCCUGUUAGUGCCCACGUCCUAUCCUGGUACCAACAACUUCCUGGGAAAGACCCAACCUUUCUGCUGAGUCAGAGGGAAGGAGCUGCCCCAACCUAAGGUCCUCCCUUAAUUAACCUUGCAAAUGAAUCCCUGGUCUACUGGAGGGUCAAAAGUCAUUCAGUUCAACUGAACAGAUGUUUAUUAAGCACCUACUAUACCUAAGGCACUAUGGUAGGUAGGGGCUGAAGAUACAAAACAAAGCCAACAGUUCCUGCCCUCACUGAGCUUACAUUUUAUGAUGAUUAAUAAGCAUUCAAUUUCUUUUUGAGAUGAAAACAGCAGAAUCACCAAAGAAGAGAGAGAUGGAGGGGGGAUAAGAGAGUUGUACAGCACACCCAUCUAUUAACAGGACUCUUCUUCCCACUUCUCCUACAGAGGCCUGGAAUGGGGGUCAGGAAAAUGACCAGAAUAUACUAGGUAUGGUCUCCCCAAACAGUCACCUCUGAUCUCCCAGUCUGUGAAGCCAGGACUUUCUCACUUUGAACUUUCUGUCAUCCCAUGACCAUUCACACCUCAAAGUCUUUCCUAAGUUAUGAGUGAAGAGUACAGGGUUCUGGUCUCAGUUUUGCCCUUAAAUACUUGUAUGACCUUGGGCAGAUCACUCACCUCUCUAGGCCUCAGUUUUCCCACCUAUACAAAGGGGAUGUCACUUCUCUGCUCUUCUCACAAGGUUAUUGUGACAGGGAAAUGAGAUAAUACCUGAUAGUAAUAGUAAUAAUAGCAGCUAACAUCUAUGUAACACUAUGUGCAGGCACUGUGCUAAACAUUUUUCAAAUAUCUCACUUGAUCCUUGCAAUAACCUUGUGAGCUAGGGACUAUUAUUAAGAUAAGAAAGUCCUUGGAAAAGUGACAAGUGCCCCACACCUGCAUGAGGUAUGUUACUCCAUCAGACCCUUCCUUUUCACCUCUCUCCUCGCAGGGUGGUAUGAGUCAUCUGAUCUCUAAGAGGAGGUGGGGGUGGGGGAGCCCUGUAGGCUCUGUCUUUGACUCUGUGACUCUCUCCGCAACAGCCCAGCUGGAGUGGACCCUCACUUUUGCUCUGUAUUGCUACCUGGGGAUGCUAGGAGGAGCUAAGCUCUAUGCACUGCUUCUGGCUGUUCUACUGGCAACCCGAAAAUGCCCUGCUCUCUCUGCCGGUUCCCACACUCACCGGAGGUCCAAGGGAGGGCCAAGGUUCCAGACUGCUUCGACCUGAAGGCCCACCUUUUGUCAGCUUUCACAAACUUCUCCAACCUCAUCCUUUUUCCCAGACUUACCUUCGCCUACCGUCCCUGCAUCCAACCCCUCUACUCUCUCUUUCAGGCUCAAAAAAACCUUUAUAAAUAAAU